UACGUAGGGGGCAAGCGUUAUCCGGAUUUACUGGGUGUAAAGGGAGCGUAGACGGCGAGGUAAGCCUGAAGUGGAAGCCCGCGGCCCAACCGCGGAACUGCUUUGGGAACUGUUUUGCUGGAGUAUGGGAGGGGUAAGCGGAAUUCCUGGUGUAGCGGUGAAAUGCGUAGAUAUCACGCAGAACUCCGAUUGCGAAGGCAGCUUACUAAGCCAUAACUGACACUGAAGCACGAAAGCGUGGGGAUCAAAAAGG
rnacentral:rRNA from 1 species